rnacentral:rRNA from 1 species
CCUACGGGAGGCAGCAGUGGGGAAUAUUGCACAAUGGGGGAAACCCUGAUGCAGCGACGCCGCGUGAGUGAAGAAGUAUUUCGGUAUGUAAAGCUCUAUCAGCAGGGAAGAAAAUGACGGUACCUGACUAAGAAGCCCCGGCUAACUACGUGCCAGCAGCCGCGGUAAUACGUAGGGGGCAAGCGUUAUCCGGAUUUACUGGGUGUAAAGGGAGCGUAGACGGCAGUACAAGUCUGGAGUGAAAUGGCGGGGCUUAACCCCGGGCCUGCUUUGGAAACUGUGCAGCUGGAGUGCAGGAGAGGUAAGUGGAAUUCCUAGUGUAGCGGUGAAAUGCGUAGAUAUUAGGAGGAACACCAGUGGCGAAGGCGGCUUACUGGACUGUAACUGACGUUGAGGCUCGAAAGCGUGGGGAGCAAACAGGAUUAGAUACCCCUGUAGUC